rnacentral:rRNA from 1 species
GACGAACGCUGGCGGCGUGCCUAACACAUGCAAGUCGAACGGAAAGGCCCUGCUUUUGUGGGUUUCUCGAGUGCCGAACGGGUGUGUAUCACGCGAGUAACCUGCCCUUGUCUUUGGGAGAACUUCAGGAAACUGGGGCUAAUACCGGGGAUGAUCUCCUGCUGCAUGUUGGGGGUUGGUAAGUUUCGGCGGUUGUGGAUAGACUCGCGGCUUAUCAGCUGGAUGGUGAGGUAGUGGCUGACCAAGUCUUGGACGGGUAGCCGGCCUGGGAGGGUGACCGGCGACCUUGGGACUGCGAUACGGACCAGUAUGCUACGGGACGCAGCAGUGGGGAACAUUGCAGAAUGGGCCGACGCCUGAUGCAGAAACGCUGCGUGCGGGAUGCCGGCCUUCGGGUGGUAAACCGCUUUCGCAUGUGACGAAGCGUGAGUGACGGUAACGGGUAAAGAAGCACCGGCUAACUACGUG